rnacentral:tmRNA from 1 species
AUCCUUGAGGUUCACGCUUCGUGCGCCUAUCUAGGGCGUGCCGGGGAAACCCGGCUACGUCGGUAGAUUGUUGAGUGGAAUAAGCACUUCGGACCCGGGGGCAGUACCCCGGCGCCUCCACCACCAGCCCUCGUCGCGAGGAUUGCUGAUGGGGGCGAAAUAGGAUCGACGAGUGCGGUAAAGGCUUGGCUGCCGAUCGGUAGGAGACCACCGUGAAGGCUCAAUCACACAAGUGCUAACGAUAACGAAGCACUCGCGAUUGCCGCGUAACUGACGUCCUAACGGACUAAGUUACAAAGCUUAAGCGCGGUCGGACCCCACCGGGCAACAGAAGGGGAUUCCA